CAAUGAUCAUCAACAGAUUGAAAAUAAAGAGACAAUUCUGGAAGAUGGAUUAAGAGUUUCUGCUAAGUUGGAAGAUGGAACGGUUGUAUCUGAAGCAGAGGGCACUUAAUUCACUGUUGAGAAGGCCUUUACUGUUGUGCUCUUGCCAAGGCUGCAAAGACGAUGAAGCAAAGCAAAAGAAUUCUUCUUACUGCCAAGCUACAAUGUAAAGAUGAAACUUUUCAAUUAAACUUGGACUUUUUGGGAUUGUGGCAAACAAGUCUAUUAGGGACUGUCGGGCUGCCUAUCUGAUGAUGAGGACCUAACUCUCUGCCAGCCAUAAUAUAACUUGAAAAGCAUUAUUGUUAGGAUUAAAGAAAAUGUGCCAGAACUUCCUUUGUGUGGAUUUAACAUGAAAGUAUCGAAAUUCAUUGAUCAGUCGUUGAAGAGUUAGAGACUGAAUUCUCCCUGCCUCUUAAGACUUUUAAGCAAUGAAAAAGGUUGAUAGUUUGAAGUACAUUGCAGUAGAGCUAUGUUUGUUUAUUCUCGUUAGAUACAAGGUGAUUUGAUCUUGUUAAUUUAGGCCAGUUUCU